CCUACGGGAGGCAGCAGUAGGGAAUCUUCCACAAUGGGCGAAAGCCUGAUGGAGCAACGCCGCGUGGGUGAAGAAGGUCUUCGGAUCGUAAAACCCUGUUGUUAGAGAAGAAAGUUCGUGAGAGUAACUGUUCACGUUUCGACGGUAUCUAUCCAGAAAGCCACGGCUAACUACGUGCCAGCAGCCGCGGUAAUACGUAGGUGGCAAGCGUUAUCCGGUUUUAUUGGGCGUAAAGGGAACGCAGGCGGUCUGUUAAGUCUGAUGUGAAAGCCUUCGGUUUAACCGGAGUAGUGCAUUGGAAACUGGGAGACUGGAGUGCAGAUGAGGUGAGUGGAACUCCAGGUGUAGCGGUGAAAUGCGUAGAUAUAUGGAAGAACACCGGUGGCGAAAGCGGCUUUCUGGGCUGUAACUGACGCUGAGGUUCGAAAGCGUGGGUAGCAAACAGGAUUAGAUACCCGAGUAGUC
rnacentral:rRNA from 1 species